UGAUUUGCUUAUUCUGGAUAGUUCAUGUC
rnacentral:piRNA from 1 species